rnacentral:rRNA from 1 species
GAAACCAACAGGGAUUGCCCUAGUAACGGCGAGUGAACCGGCACCAGCUCGGAUUUGGAAUCCGGCCGCCCCCCCACGGACGGCCCGAGUUGUAAUCUGCAGAGGGCGCCUCGGGUGCAGCCCCCCGCCGAGUUCCCUGGAAAGGGACGCCGCAGAGGGUGACAGCCCCGUGCGGCGGGCGGGCGAGCCCGCGAGAGGCCCCUUCGGAGAGUCGCGUAGCUUGGGAGUGCUGCGCAAAUCGGGAGGUAUACCCCUCCUAAAGCUAAACAUAGGCCGGAGACCGAUAGCGCACAAGUAGAGUGAUCGAAAGAUGAAAAGCACCUUGAAAAGGGGGUUAAACAGUACGUGAAAUUGUUGAAAGGGAAGCGCCCGCCGCGAGACUCGCGCGCCGCAACGCCGCCGUCCCCUGCCCUGGGGUCGGGGGCAGCUGCGCGCGGGCCAGUGGCGGCUCGGCAGCCGGGUCAUAAAGGCGCCGGGAACGUGGCUCGCCACCCCCCGCGACCGCGUCGGGUGGCGGGAUCUUACAGCCCGCGCGCGCAACGGCCCGGCCCGGGCCGCGGCUCACGCCCCCCGCCUGGCGAGGGUGCUGGCGUAAUCGCGGCCGGCGGCCCGUCUUGAAACACGGACCAAGGAGUCGUCCUGCCGCGCGAGUGUUUGGGUGCGGAAAGCCCCUGCGCGAAGUGAAAGCAAAUGCUGGUGGGAGCCUCGGCGCACCACCGACCGAUCCCGAUGUCCUCGGAAGGAUUUGAGUACGAGCGCGGCGGGCCGGACCCGAAAGAGGGUGAACUAUGCGUGCCUAGGCCGAAGCCAGCGGAAACGCUGGUGGAGGGCCGCAGCGGUUCUGACGUGCAAAUCGAUCGUCAAAGGUGCGCAUAGGGGCGAAAGACUAAUCGAACCUUCU